rnacentral:rRNA from 1 species
ACUCAAAUGAAUUGACGGGGGCCCGCACAAGCGGUGGAGCAUGUGGUUCAAUUCGACGCAACGCGAAGAACCUUACCUGGGCUCGAAAUGUAGUGGACUGAGGUAGAAAUAUCUCUUUCUCGCAAGAGACUGCUAUAUAGGUGCUGCAUGGCUGUCGUCAGCUCGUGUCGUGAGAUGUUGGGUUAAGUCCCGCAACGAGCGCAACCCUUAUCUUUAGUUGCCAUCAGGUCAAGCUGGGCACUCUAACGAAACCGCACAGGAUAACUGUGAGGAAGGUGGGGAUGACGUCAAGUCCUCAUGGCCUUUAUGUCCAGGGCUACACACGUGCUACAAUGGUCGGUACAAACCGUCGCAAACCUGCGAAGGGGAGCUAAUCGGAAAAAGCCGGCCUCAGUUCGGAUUGGAGUCUGCAACUCGACUCCAUGAAGCUGGAAUCGCUAGUAAUCGCAGAUCAGAACGCUGCGGUGAAUACGUUCCCGGGCCUUGUACACACCGCCCGU